rnacentral:rRNA from 1 species
CCUGGAAUUUGCGCAAUGGGGGAAACCUGACGCAGCAACGCCGCGUGGAGGAUGAAAUCCCUUGGGAUGUAAACUCCUUUCGAUAGGGAAGAUAAUGACGGUACCUAUAGAAGAAGCCCCGGCUAACUUCGUG